rnacentral:lncRNA from 1 species
CUGAAUUUUGCCUCUGGUUUUUCUGGCUCAACAUACAGUUUUUGGGAUUUAGCCAUCUUGUUCUUUGGAUCAAUGGUUCAUUCCUUUUUAUUGCUAAAUACUUAUCCAGUGUAUAACAUACCACAAUUUGCAUAUCCAUUCCAUUGUUGAUGGAUACCUUUCCAGCUUAGAAGUAGUAUGAAUAAUGCUCUGUAAACAUUCUUAUAUAAAUCUGUGUGUGAACAUAAGUUUUUAUUUCUUUUAGGUAAAUAUCUAGAAGAUAACCUGCUGGAUCAUGAGGAGAUAGAGAUUGCAUCUGACUGGGACUAAGCAACCCUCGGAAGCACCAAACCUCACCUCCCUUCUCAACACCUGACUCCGGCCUAGGGCCUUCCCACUGAGGUAGAAAUUCUUAUGGACUGGAAUCUUCCUCAAGGCUUACUUUGUUCCUGGGAUGCAGUGGUGCAUAGAAGAUAGGGCAUUGACUCACUCAGACCUGGCUUGCCCAGCAUGCAUUGCAACAAUGAUGUGCAAGUUAUUAAAGACAUGAGUGAAUUCGUAAGUAUAGUGUAAUUUGAGAUUUCCUAUGCAAGGUAUUCUAGAAAUGCCAAGUAUCUUGUUUACAACAAACCAAAAACUGAAAUGUUGGUUGUCAUGUUCACUACCACAUAGAAAAUACACAGUGAAAGACUUUCACAUUUUCAGUAAAAUAAGCAAAGGGGGAACGGUGAUUUAUCUUGCUGAAGUUCUGUAAGGCAAAAUUAUUUAGUUCAUUGUGAAAGAAAAUAAAACGUGCUCUAGAGAACAGAACACAUAGCUUUUAGAGAGAUAGGCUGCUUUUAAAAAGAUGUCUGUGAUUCCACAAUAAUGACAUAAAAGCCCUAAGUGUUAUUUCCUAGUCCUUACUACAUUUUAACUGUCACUGAAACUAAAGUAAUGGAAAAAUUAUAUUUGUAUGUAUAAAGUAACUAUAAAUUAUCCACUCAUUACAAAACAUCUUAUCCUUUAUCUAUUUAGAUACAAUUAUAGCCUUGCUCUCCAACAUUUUGGAGAACAGGAUGUUGGUUAAUAAAAAUUCUAGUUAAGUAAGUAUUCAAUUUUUUUUUAGUCUUUCUCUUAUAUUGUCCUUUAUUCAGUUCUCCUAGACUGACAAAAAAUGUGUCCCAGUGAUGUAGCUUUUCCUUCCAAAAAAAUUAGCAGGAACAGGCUGGACGCAGUGGCUCA